AUUGAUUGCUGGAGUUGAAUAUCCAUUGCUUGCGGAACAUAUGUCGGACUAUAUGUCAAAAACACUUUUCUACACGUCUCUUCUUUAUCGUUCCACAUUGGAGCAUAAACAUGCAGUUGCUGAGUUUUGUGGGAAUGUGGAGCUAUGUAGGCUCACGGAGCAGGUUGUAUUUUCAGAUCCAUAUAUGGAGUCUCAGUAUAAUCGUUGGACUUCACCUUACCUUG
rnacentral:misc_RNA from 1 species